AAUGAACGCUGGCGGCGUGCUUAACACAUGCAAGUCGAACGAGGCGGAGGGGGCAACCCCUCCAGUCGAGUGGCGGACGGGUGAGUAACACGUGGGUAACCUGCCCGGAAGUGGGGAACACCUCGGGGAAACUCGAGCUAAUACCGCAUGACAUCUUCGGGACGAAAGUCCUGACGAUCAAAGCGGGGCCGCAAGGCCUCGCGCUUCCGGAUGGGCCCGCGCCCGAUUAGCUAGUUGGCGAGGUAACGGCUCACCAAGGCUUCGAUCGGUAACCGGCCUGAGAGGGCGAUCGGUCACACCGGAACUGAGACACGGUCCGGACUCCUACGGGAGGCAGCAGUGGGGAAUCUUGCGCAAUGGGCGAAAGCCUGACGCAGCAACGCCGCGUGGAGGAUGAAGGCCCUUGGGUUGUAAACUCCUGUUGGCU
rnacentral:rRNA from 1 species